GAUGAAGAACGCAGCGAAAUGCGAUACGUAAUGUGAAUUGCAAAUUCAGUGAAUCAUCGAGUCUUUGAACGCACAUUGCGCCCCCUGGUAUUCCGGGGGGCAUGCCUGUACGAGCGUCAUUGCUGCCCUCAAGCACGGCUUGUGUGUUGGGCCCCGUCCUCCGAUCCCGGGGGACGGGCCCGAAAGGCAGCGGCGGCACCGCGUCCGGUCCUCGAGCGUAUGGGGCUUUGUCACCCGCUCUGUAGGCCCGGCCGGCGCUUGCCGAUCAACCCAAAUUUUUUAUCCAGGUUGACCUCGGAUCAGGUAGGGAUACCCGCUGAACUUAAGCAUAUCAAUAAGCGGAGGA
rnacentral:misc_RNA from 1 species